CCUACGGGAGGCUGCAGUGGGGAAUAUUGGACAAUGGGGGCAACCCUGAUCCAGCCAUGCCGCGUGUGUGAAGAAGGCCCUCGGGUUGUAAAGCACUUUCAGUGAGGAAGAACGCCUGGUGGUUAAUACCCAUCAGGAAAGACAUCACUCACAGAAGAAGCACCGGCUAACUCCGUGCCAGCAGCCGCGGUAAUACGGAGGGUGCGAGCGUUAAUCGGAAUUACUGGGCGUAAAGCGCGCGUAGGUGGCUUGAUAAGCCGGUUGUGAAAGCCCCGGGCUCAACCUGGGAACGGCAUCCGGAACUGUCAAGCUAGAGUGCAGGAGAGGAAGGCAGAAUUCCCGGUGUAGCGGUGAAAUGCGUAGAGAUCGGGAGGAAUACCAGUGGCGAAGGCGGCCUUCUGGACUGACACUGACACUGAGGUGCGAAAGCGUGGGUAGCAAACAGGAUUAGAUACCCUAGUAGUC
rnacentral:rRNA from 1 species